AUUCGACAGACGUAUCUUUAUCAGCCAGUGCCGCCGUACACAACCCUAAUUUGUAACGAUCAUCAACAAUGUUAGAGGAAAAGAGGCGACGUGAUCUCAGGGGAACUGAAGAACGUAGAUGUUACUCGAUCAUAACAUGUUGAGAAUUCAUAGGUUAUAACAAGUAUCCCGUGCAAUCUGACUGCACAUGGGGAUAUUCAACCUUUGCAAUCGUAAACCUUUGUUCAAGGUAUCAUGAGGCUGAAAUGCUCGAUAGUCUUCCUGGGAAAGAUUCUUGGAAAGCAAGCAUGGGAUACUUGAUCCGCAAGACACAGUCUCCAGAUUGCCUGAAAACGUACUUCAACAUAUCAUGUCUUUUCUUCCGCCAUUAGAUCAAGAUAAUGUUCGUUUUUUAUCGAGAGAAUGGCGCCGACUAAAUGCGCAAAACCAAACAGUGCUCUGGCUGACUAAGCAGCGGUUAAACAAGUUGGAAUUUCCAAAGGUUUUGAAUGAUGAGUUCCACUCAGUAGAUGAUUAAAUGCCUGGGGAUGAGAAACCUGAAGCUUGUGAAUUUUAAGCUAUUAAUUGUUCACUUGAACCGCUGUGGAAGCUUGAAGAAUUUGUACCUCAACACACCAAAUCUUACAACUUUAUACUUCCAUGGACCGCGUGGCAGACCAUGCACGAUUGAGCUUAUUAAUUGCAAAGAUUUAAUGAAUUUGCAUUUAGUUGGGGUUGCUAUGAACACUACGAUGUUCGUAAACUGCAACGAAAGUUUUCCACUUCUUCAGAUGUUGACACUUGCUGGCUGUGCUAUGAGUGGAUGUAUUAACAUCUCAAGUAAUUCUCUCCACGAAUUAUGGUUUAUUGGAAUCAAUAAGCCCGUGGGUCUCACCAUUGAUGCCCCAAACGUAUCUUCUUUCAAGUACAAUGGCCGUACAAUAGCUCCGUAUCAAAACAUCAACUUACCCCGUGUUGCUAUAGCUUAUGUUGAGCUAUAUCCUAAUCUGAACCAAAAGGGUGAAUGUGAUUUUAGAAUGUGGCCCAAUCAGUUAUAAUUCAAGAUUCUAAAAGAAAAGAUUGGGCAUUUGAUUUUAGAAUGUGGCCCAAUAAGUAGUACAAUUUCCCGAUAUGAACAUAGGGUUUUUUUAAGUUAGUGAUUU